ACAAAAUUGGUUAAUGGCUCCCUGCAUUAAUUAUGACUCCCAAGAUGUAAUGGAAGAUGCUGAAAGCUACAAGUUAGAAACCGAGAUAACUUUGAAGAAUAUUUUAAAUGAGGUCGAUUGAAGAUUACUUGAAGUACUUUUGCUUGUUGAUUGGUUAAUCCAAGAGUAAGACCAUUUUUGCUUGUUGAUUGGUUAAGUCAUUGAUUUCUAAUGUAACUGCUGUAUUGCUUGAAGUACAUCUGCUAUAUCAAUAUGUAAUUGAAUAGUCACACCUUUAAUUUUGAUUGUUA